UGCUACCUAGUCUGAGUGAGUGA
rnacentral:miRNA from 1 species